UUCUUGUUUGAACCUGAAAGUGCACUCUUGACUGGAGGCGAGGAAAUUCUGCAAAGCUAUAUUGAUAACAAUGAUGAAUCUUGUUGGAUGCAAUCACCUCUGUUUCAAGAUACGUAUUCUUUUAGUCCAACCGUGGAAACACCUUUCUGCUGUGAAUUACAAGGUUGGACUGCUGCAAAUUGUGAUCAGCCUCCGAGAUCGAAUCAAGCAAUUGAUAACAAUGAUGAAUCUUGUUGGAUGCAAUCACCUCUAUUUCAAGAUACGUAUUGUUUUAGUCCAACCGUGGAAACACCUUUCUGCUGUGAAUUACAAGGUUGGACUGCUGCAAAUUGUGAUCAGCCUCCGAGAUUGAAUCAAGCAAUUGAUAACAAUGAUGAAUCUUGUUGGAUGCAAUCACCUCUCUUUCAAGAUACGUAUUGUUUUAGUCCAACCGUGGAAACACCUUUCUGCUGUGAAUUACAAGGUUGGAUUGCUGCAAAUUGUGAUCAGCCUCCGAGAUCGAAUCGAGCAAUAUUUUAAUCAGGAUUAGGACCCAUUUUCUUUUCCCUUUUGAUUCAUGUAUACAUACUUGUAACUCGUAAUAUAGAACAAUAAUCGCUGGAGGGAAGAGAAAGGAAUGAUGUACAGUACAUUCCACUGUGUUACUGAUGCUAUAAACAACACUUACUGCUGGAACCACCUUUUUAUCGCUCGGUUUUAAAGUUUCAAUUCACCAUUACCAGAUAAUGAAAAGUUGAAUUACAAAUCAGUAGGCGAUAACUUUUCAGAAUUUUUUGACGAUCAAUUUCAUUCUCUCUGAUGCUACCACGCUGAUUACAUCGAGGAUGUCAAUGUUGUAUAUUGCCUUACUCAAAAAACAUAUGAAAAGAGUAAAAAAUAUUGAUCUUGGCCUAACUUUCCAACUGAUGGAGAGUUUUGGAUGGAUGGUGCAAUAGAAAAUAGCUAAUUCUAGGGCUUGCUGUUGCAGAUUAUGUGUUCUGUUCAUGAUAAUCAUGCCAGUCUAGUGUAGGACAAGAAAUCUUGGCUUAACUACAAAGAUAUUUGAGAGAACAAAUCUCAUUCUCUUGUUCCAUAUAAGAAUGCUACAUUUUAACCAUUCAAAGCAAAGAAAAAGCAAAAAAAUGAGCAUUACACUCUGAACAUAUAAGAAUGCCCUGCUCUACACCAGUCCAUUAACGGCUAGAACUUAUGAAACUUUGAUUCGAAAUAGAGAGAGACAUAUUUCAUCCAUAUUAAAGCCUAAACAUCCUGAUGCUUAAUCUCCCUAAGUCAAUUUUGAUCACCUUUUCUUCAGAUAAGUGAAUCUGCUUGUUUUGAUAUGAAAAUAAGCUAAUAAGCUUCUCAACACUCUGAAGGCCAGAAGUAGCUUCUUGCACAGCGUUUUGUUCUGAUUGUGAAACAAAAUUUGUCUGAUUCAUUAUGAGCUCCACAGCCAUGGUUGGGUGGAGAAUUAUGUGCAGGGAAGGUAUUUGAUAUAUGUUCAAAAUGAUAUUCAUAUCUCUUGUACUGUAAGACCAAAAAACAACUCUAUGACAUUCAAGUUUGGCAAAAGGAGUAGUUGCUAUUUGUUAGAACAGUAUAAUUGACAGCAUGCAACUACACAAACAGAAUUACAUAUGUAGAAGUUUUGAAUUUUUCCUGAUUGAGUGCUAGAGAUGGAAAUUUAAAUAAUCACAACAAACAUUUUUCGAUUAAGUAUGAACUAAGUGGGCAUGAAAAUGGAAAAUGAAUAUUAGUAAUCCAGAAAAGAGAUGAAGAUUGAACGAAGUUACCCAAUUUCACAGGAAAGAUAUUAUUCCAUGUGAUUUAUUUAUAGUUGAAUGCUUAUCAUUUUCUAUCUAUUGAAGUUUUUCUUUUCCCUUCUUCCCGAAGAAUUCCAUUCUCGACCAGUAAAGUGUUCUUUUGGAUUUCAAUUUUAGUGUUUAUAUGUUUCUGCUUUUAUCUUAUGUGGAUUUUUACUAAUAUGCAAAACUUUCCCUUUCUAAUUGUUUUUCUGGACAACUUAGUAGCUUUAUGUUUAUGAAAGUGUAUAUAUUUUCGAUUUGUGAACAAAAAUAUUUCAAAUAAAACCGUCAAAAAAUCAAGAAAAUAGAAAUAUAGAAAUAUUGUGGACAUUAAUAAUGAGAGACCUCUUGUCAUAAGUGACUACAAUAUGUGAACUUUACAGCUGAAAUCAACAAUAUACAAUAUGUUUUUCUUCUUGUAAAUGCUAAACAUAGAAAUUUAAGGAACUAAAAUGGAGUUUGAUAUCACAUAUCAAUUAUUAUUCAUAUCCUUGACAAGUGCUUAAAGGCUAUGAAAUAUUUGGUACCAAAGAGAAUAUUUUGGCAUUUUUCUUUUUAGGUCCCAGAUUGCUUUUUCUGUUAUUUAUGUAUUUGAUCUCAAAGUUCUGAUGGUUUGAUUCAAUUUUUCUACAUUUUACCAUAGAGGAGAAUCAAUUUUUGCACUUUUCUUCUACUAUAGUAUAAUGAUUAUAUACUAAUCCAUGUUUUGCCAGUUUUUGCUCUUCAUUUUUUUGCUUCAGUUUCCAAACUUCACUGCAAUUACAAAGUGUUGAGUUCUGCUCUUCAAGGGUAAAGCACAAACUAAGUCUCUAACCUUAGUUGCAGUUCCAGGUCUUCAUUGGUCCAUCCUAUUUGGGUGAGCUUGUAGAGCAAAAACAGGCUAUUAGGUUCAUUCCUCAAUUUGAGAAAGCACAACUUCACAUGGCACUCGUACUUUCUUUCUUUAACCUAUACUUUUUGUGUUCUAUGAUUAUUUUUGUGCAAUCUUCCCAUUUAAUGGUACAAAACUAAAGUUACUAGAAAAUUUUAAUUGCCGUCUCUUUAGUUGAUGUUUGCUUUACAGUUGAAAAAAUUUCUAGCCCUUAAUGUAGAGAAACUGGAAGAAGCCCCUGAGCAAUUCCUGAAUUUGUAAAUUACUAAGAGAUCACUUGAAAAUUAGAUACUUUAACAUCGAGGUUGCCUUUGGCCACUGCAAAUGGUAAGAGUACUUAACAUUAGUGCAAUUGGGAAAGUGUUGCAGAAGGCUUGAAAAAUGGUAAUGAAGGCGUAAAGUCUGUGUUUAAAGCCUAAUGCGAAUAAGCUCUCGAGGCACGUGUUUGAAAAAAAAUGAUUCUAAUCUCAAUUUUUGAGAGGUUUAUGCAUUUUUCUUUAGGUUUCAUGUAGGCGAUAUAAUGUUCAUUGUUAUGCUUUCCUUUUUCUUCUGCUGCCAUUUAUUUUCAUUGGUUGCUUUAACUUAAAAUCAAUUUUUAUUUCAUGUUAAAAGCUAACCAUUGCAUAUACAACUAUGUGAGAAAAGCUUGGCACAAUCAUAGGCACCAAUCCAUGAAAGGUUUAACAUUGGUGCAGUUGGGAAAGUGUUGCAGAAGGGUUGACAAAUGGUACUGAAGGCGAAAAGUCUGUGUUUGAAAAAAAUGAUUUUGUUUAACAGCAUUAUGAACCAUUUGUCGCAUAUGAAGGCCUUGAACAACUGCACCGCUUCAUCCUUGUCAUGGCAAUAACACACACACACACACAUAUAUAUAUAUAUAUAUUACAGCUGCUUAACAAUGCUGCUGGCAAUUGUUAAGGUAAUAUAUCGGUUUUCUUCAAUGGAAUCUUCUGUUAAAUUUAUGGCCUUUUCACAGACAAUUUUGCAAUGUGAUUCAAUGUGCAAACUUCAAUUCCAUUGGCUAAUUUUUCUACUUGAUUAUUAGUCAACCUGGAAGUUGAAAUCUAAAGAGGCUGUGUAUACCGUAAAGACUAGGAUCACACGAAUAGUUUGUCUACAUGAAUGGUAUGGUUCAGAAAAUUAUGUAAACACUAAAGAGUACUACAUCUCCAUAGAAUGCUACGAUGGUGAAAUGAAGUACGUAAGUUCCAUAGAGCAAACCUGAAUAGGAAAAGGCAUUGAGAAACCCCAUUAAUAACCACUAAUUAUAGAGCAAACCUGAAUAGGAAUAGCUUGUUGUGAUAGCCAUUCUGGUCUCGGCUUAAGGCAAGUAAUUGAUAGAUAUAUAAGUACAAAGAGUAAGAAAAACUUGCUAUAUUUUAAAACCAUACACAGCUGGCAUCUUAUAUAAAUUACAAAAGGAUUCUAGCAUACUUUAGUCAACAAGUUUCCACCUACUACCACCUUACCUGUUGACAGCAUCCCUUACCUUAUACAUGACCAUACUGUGCUAGGCUUUUUAAUCACAUAAAGACCAUAACUUAUACUUGAAUUAGGUACAACAAAAACACUAGACAUUUCACAACAAAAAUGUCAAUCCAACAUCAAUACUCCUCCUUGACACUCUUGCUGGAACCAUCAAGGCAUUUCCUUAAUGGAAGGAAUUCUUGUAUCUUGCCUCUUGAUCUUCCCGUCCCCAUCCCCCGGCAAUAAAAAAAAUAAUAAUAAUAAAAUAAAAUAAAAAAUAGAUAAACUGGCCUUCCUUUAAUUGCAAGAUUUUGUGUAUUAUAUGAUAUGAAAUUUGUUCUUUUAUUUUUGAUGGUGUUCUGUAUAUAUAAGGGUUGAAUUUUGUUCUAUAUUUUUUAUGGUGUUCUGCACAAACAUCAGCCCUUUCUCCCCGUUCAAACCCGGAACGGUCUUAGCAUUAAGAGCAUUAAACAACUGGAGUGAUCCCAUCUGACCAGCCCCCAGUCCUGGCAGGUUGUAGUUUCUUGCUGUGUUUCCGAUAUAGAAGCCAGCAACACGAGUUUGGGGCAAACUCGCAUGAAAUGUGGCCCCUUACAAACAAAACACCCCCGUGGUGCAACCUUUCCUUUCUUCUUUUCAUCACACUCUUUCCACCAAGGACUUUGUUUGUUGCCAACGGGUUUGUAAUCAGCCUUAUAAUUAGGUUUCCAAGCAGGCCUGCCCCGCAGCUUGUCCUUUUUUCCCUCAUUCCCGCCUUUGCCAAAAUUUCCCUUGGCAGGUUUGGUUGGCUUUGCCUGCGUUUCAGCACUUCUCUGGAAUUCGGUUAACGACUCCGCCACAACAAUGGCUUCGUCCACUGUCUUAACUCUCCGACACUGUAGUUCCUGUCUUACCCAAUUUGCACAACCAUCCAAGAAAUAGAACAAUAACACAUCAUCAGGCAUGCUAGGAAUCUGGAGCAUGAGGGUCGUGAAUUCCUUGAUGUAUUCACGAAUGGUGCUCUUGUGCUUCAAUUCCCGCAGCUUCUUACGGGCCUCGUAUACAACAUUUUCAGUAUAAAACUGCCUCUUCAACUCUUUCUUAAACUUGUCCCAGGUAUCAACCUUGGACGCAACUUCAGCCAAUUUGUGUCUCCACCAUAACGCAGCUGUAUUCGAAAGGUACAUAGUUGCUGUUCGAACUUUCAUCCCUUCUUCUAAGAUAUUCACCCCCUCGAAAUAAACUUCCAUUUUCCACAAGAAAUUUUCCACAUCCUUCGCAUCUCGUUUUCCCUCAAACAUUUUUGGCUUAGGUUAUUUGAUUCUAGGAGCUGCAACAACUGCAGCAGUACCUCCACUCGACCCUGCAGUGGACUGCUUGUAUGAUAGGUACCUGGACUGAUCUGCAGAUUCCAAUAGCUGCUAAGUUGAAUCCCGAACUCGCGCUCAACCUGUUCACACCAAAGGGAGUUAUUAUUACCCACCUUCGGCUAUUGGAGACAGAAGAUAAAUGUGUUACAAGGCCUGAAAUCUGAAUGAGAAAUGUAUUUUGAUUUAUUGAAAGCUAUGAUGAAAUUUGGAACAGCUCCAAGGCUUUUGAGAGGCCUGGACUCUCCCAAUGACUCCACUAAACACGUGAAUGCCCUCCCUUUACUCCCCCCCCCCCCCCCCCUCCCCCCCAAUACAUUUAUUCCCUCCCCAAACAUAGACUUUUUCCAAAAUUACCCCUAAUCUACUCACUGACUGAAUACAAAAGACCCGUUUUUCCAAAGUACCCCCAACCACUAACUAACUGAGACUGAAUUAGUUGCUGCGUUGUUUGCCUCCAUCCUGCUCUUUCUUUCUUCUCUCAUAGGUGAGCUUGAUUGGGGGCCUAUCAUUACCCUCGCUCAAAAUCCACCUUGUCCUCAAGGUGGAAGUCCAGAAAUUGUUGACGGAUCAUUUCAGAGGGUUCCCAUGUUGCUUCAAUGGCUGGAAGAUCCUUCCAUUUGAUCAAUACUUCCUGUCCUGUGCUAGAAGAACUAGGCCUGACCUGUAGUACCACCUCUGGCUCCACCUGUAGCUGACCUUCUGCGGUGAGUUGUGGAGGCAAUUGGGAGAUGGUCUGGGCAGCCCCUACUGCUUUUCGGAGCUGUGACAUAUGAAAAACGGGGUGUAUUGCAGCUCCAAGCGGAAACUUCAAUUUAUAUGCCACUUGUCCUAUUCGUGCUUCAACUUCAAAUGGUCCAAAAUACCUUGGGGAUAGCUUGGCAUUUGGUUGAUGCACUACAGAUCUCUGCCGGUAAGGUCGAAGCUUGAGGUACACCAAUUCCCCCACCUCGAACUGAAUAUCACGGCGCUGCCUGUCCACCCUCUGUUUCAUUCUCUGCUGAGACCGUGUGAGCUGCGUCUUCAGCUCCUGGAGUAUCUCAUCCCUGGUCAUUAAGGACUGUUCCACUGAUGAUAGGACUGUCAUACCCUUCUCGAAUGGCAACACCAGGGGGGAUCCCGCUUAUAAACAAUUUGAAAAGGAGUAUGGUUAGUUGCUGUGUGAAAUGAAGUAUUAUACAAAUACUCAGCCCAAGGCAACCAUUGACCCCAUUACGUGGUCGGUUGUAGGAAAAACACCUCAAAUAUGUCUCCAAGCAACGAUUUACCACCUCCGUUUGUCCAUCCGUCUGUAAGUGGUAGGCCGUACUAUGUUUAAGUGUUGUUCCUUGUGCUUUGAAGAGGCAGUCCAGAACAUACUCAUGAAAACCCGAUCUCUGUCAGAAAUGAUAGAUUUUGGUACCCCAUGCAAACGAACAAUCUCCCUGACAAACACAUCUGCUACUGCUUGAGCUGUGAACGGAUGUUUCAUCCCAAUAAAGUGGGCAUAUUUACUCAGUCUCAGUCGAUCCACUACCACCAAUAUUGUGUCUAUCCCGCCUGAUUUUGGCAACCCUUCUAUGAAAUCCAUCGAAAUAUCUGACCAAAUCAAAUCUAGAAUGGGGAGUGGCUGCAACAGUCCAAUAGGUGAUAAUGCCUCAUACUUGUUUUGCUGACACGUGGCACAACGAGCCACGUACUCUCGAACAUCCUUCUUCAUUCCAAUCCAGUGCACCUCCCUCGCAACCCGCUUGAACGUCUUUAGAAAGCCAGAAUGUCCCCCCACCUUAGAAUCGUGACAUUUGGCUAGUACCACCGUGACCAAUGAAGAGUGUUUAGGCAAGACCACCCUUCCCUUAUAGCGCAAUAUACCCUCGGUCAACGUGUACCCAGCUUUGAUCACCUGUCCUGACUGUAAGGCGGUCACCAGCCUUCCCAAUUCAACAUCCACUGCUACCUCUUUCUUAACAUCUUCGAGUUGCAGCCCUCGGGGAGCAGAGAGGGUUAAAAAAUUUAGAGUCGGUUUGACUCUUGAGAGGGCAUCUGCUGCUUUAUUUUCAAUGCCUGGCCGGUACUGGAUAUCAAAGUCAUACCCCAACAGCUUGGUAAGCCACUUCUGAUGCUCAUCACUUACUAUGCGCUGCUUAAGAAGGAAUUUCAAGCUCCUCUGGUCUGUCCUUACCACAAAGCGUCUACCCAUUAGGUAAUGACGCCACUUUUGAAUAGCAAACACAAUGGCCAUCAACUCCCGUUCAUAAACUGAUUUGCUUCGGGCGCUCAUCGGUAGCACUCGGCUGAAGUAAGCGAUAGGAUGCUGAUUCUGCAUCAAAACCGCCCCCAGCCCAUGUCCCGAAGCAUCUGUUUCCACUACAAACUCCUGAGAAAAAUCUAGCAAGGCAAGAAUUGGUAUCUCAGUCAUGGCCUUCUUUAGCUUGGUAAAGGCUGCCUCAACCUGCUCAUUACAGUUGAACCCACUUGCCUUCAACAAAUCAGUCAAAGGCAAAGCUAUUUUAGCAUAUCCAUUCACAAAACGGUGAUAGUAACCAGUGAGGCUCAAGAAUCCUCGUAAUUCCUUAGUGGUACAGGGUCGAGGCCAUUUCAGCAUUGCUUCAACCUUCUCUGGAUCUGCCGCUACCCCCUCGCUCGAAAUGAUAUGCCCCAAAUACUCAAGUUUUUGUUGGCCCCACAAGCACUUCUUCUCAUUGGCAUACAACUGGUGUUCUUGUAGACACUGAAAAAUGGUUUCCAAGUGGUCACGAUGCUCCUUUAUUGACUUGCUAUAAACCAGAAUGUCGUAAAAAAAAACUAAUACAAACUUUCGCAAAUAUGGCCUGAACACUUCAUUCAUCAAACUCUAAAAAGUUGCUGGAGCAUUUGUCAGCCCAAAAGGCAUAACCAAGAAUUCAUAGUGGCCUUCAUGUGUUCGGAAGGCCGUCUUGGGAAUGUCCUCAGACCUCACCCUUAUCUGAUGUAUCCUGAUUUUAAAUCCAACUUCGAGAAAAUUCGGGCCCCAUGUAACUCAUCUAAAAUUUCAUCAAUCACAGGAAUUGGAAAGCGGUCAGGAACUGUAAUUUUGUUGAGGGCACGAUAAUCAACACAAAACCGCCAACUUCCGUCUUUCUUCUUUACCAGCAAGAUGGGACUAGACAACGGACUGGAACUUGGUUGUAUGAUUUCUGCAGCUAGCAUCUCCCUCACUAACCUCUCAAUUUCAUUUUUUUGGAAAUGAGGGUAACGAUACGGUCUGACAUUCACAGGCGCAGACCCCGACUGUAAAACAAUCGAAUGAUCCCGUCCUCGAAACGGUGGGAGUCCACCAGUCCAUUGGAACAUCCCUAAAUAUCCUCGUAGCACGUCAGUGAUCACACUAGGAGCUGUGGGAGGUGCUUUUUCCUUCUCUACUCCCAUGCUACCAAGUUCCAACAACACCCCCGGCUUCUCCUCCUUGAACGCCUUAAUCAUACUUUUCAGCGACACUUGUGAUUUAAUGAGACUAGAAUUCCCUUGCAGUAAGAUGUUUCUUCCCUUCCACUUAAAUUGCAUUGUUAAAGCUCCCCAGUUCACUUGCAUUUUACCCAAGCUUCCCAGCCACUUCAUCCCCAAAAUGACGUCAGUACAACCCAGAUCUAGUGGAAGGAAAUCAUCUACUACUUCGAUGCCAUCCAGCGAAACAACAACCCCCUUACAUACCCCACCGCUUCGAACUGCCAGGCCCGUCCCCAUCAGCACACUGUAAUCGGCCGUACCAGAAGUUGGAAGCUUAAGUCGGUUCGCUAACUCGGCUGAAAUGAAAUUGUGGGUGGCUCCACAGUCGAUAAGCACAACUACUGACUAACCCAGAACUAACCCUUUUAGCUUCAUAGUCUUGGGAGUGGUUAGGCCAACCACUGAAUUAAGGGACAGCUCAACCAUGUCACCCACCACCUCCUCUUCAUUAACAUCUGUCAGCUCCGAUGAUUCCUCCCUCUCGCCUUCUUCCUGUACUACCAGCACCUGCAACUCUUUAUCCUGGCAGCGAUGACCGGGGCUGUACUUCUCAUCGCAGCGGUAACAUAAGCCCUUCUCUCUUUUUACCUGUAGCUCAUCAUUAGUAAGCCUUUUAAAAGGCGGUAUCACACUCGUUGCAGCAGGGAGCUGCGAUCCGAUAGCGUGCGCACUUUUGAAAGUCGCCUGCGCUGAAGUCACGCUGCUGGGUUGUGUUUGAUAUGAAGAGAAACGUGGGCUGGCACUUAUGGAUGGACUGGGGGAAUUAAAUUUAGUCCUAUUUGGGCUAAAACCCAACUGGGCCUGUUUAAGGAAUUCAUUCCUAUCCUCCACACGUUGGGCCAACUCCAUUAUGUGGCCCAAUCCUUUGGGCUUAAGCAUCCUUAUUUCAGCCCGGAUUACUGCCUUUAGCCCAUCAACGAAAUUCCCCUCCAAAACCUCUUCUGGAACCAUCGUCAAUGGAGCAGCCAAAAUCUCAAAAUCCCGCUAGUAUUCUCUCACCGACGCUUCUUGCUUCAACGCCAGAAAUUUUUCCAAGUUCGUUCCCUCCUGCAACGGGCGGAAGCGCUCUAGUAUGAGCUGCUUUAGUUCUCCCCAACUCCUAACUGGCCUCCUGCUGUCUUCCCACUAAAACCAAGCUAGAGCUUCAUCCUCAAAACACACUGCGGCUGCUUCGAUUUUCUCUCCAUUCGAAAGUUGAUUCAUGUUAAAAUACCGUUCAGCUCUGAAAAUCCAACCAUCGGGAUUAUCACCAUCAAAAAUUGGUAACUCCAAUUUCCGACCUCGUGUUUUCCCCUUCCACUGAUCGCUGACCCUAUUUUUGCCUUCGAAUUUUACUUCCUCAGCCACGGACUUCUGUGCCUCUUCUGAAAUUCCUGAUGAACCCAUCGAAUUUUCCAGUAUGACCUUCUCCUCCCUCAUGCCCUCACACGCAUCCCACUUCCUCAUCAUAGCCUCAAGUUUUUCCCGCACUUCCCCCAUGUCCCUCUGCAAUUCCAAUUUCACAUUACCCAUCCCUUCCUAUAGUUCUCCUUGAAUUCGUUCGAUUCUUGCUUCUAAUGCCAUUACCCGAUCUGUGAGUGUCAUUUUCCCAGGAUGUAUGCUCUGAUACCAAUUUGAUAGGUAUCUGGACUGAUCUGCAGAUUCCAAUAGCUGCUAAGUUGAAUCCCGAAUUCGUGCUCAACCUGUUCACACCAAAGGGAGUGAUUAUUACCAACCUCUGGCUAUAGGAGACAGAAGAUAAAUAUGUUCUCAGGCCUGAAAUCUGAAUAAAAUUGAAUGAGAAAUGUAUUUUGAUUUAUUGAAAGCUAUGAAUGAAAUUUGGAACAGCUCCAAGGCUUUCGAGAGGCCUGGACUCUCCCAAUGACUCCACUAUACACGUGAAUGCCCUCCCUUUACUCCCCCCAAUACAUUUAUUCCCUCCCCAAACAUAGACUCUUUCCAAAAUUACCCCUAAUCUACUCACUGACUGAAUACAAAAGACUCGUUUUCCCAAAGUACCCCCAACCACUAACUAACUGAGACUGAAUUAGUUGCUGCGUUGUUUGCCUCCAUCCUGCUCUUUCUUUCUUCUCUCAUAGGUGAGCUUGAUUUGGGGCCUGUCAUUGUACAUAUCCAGCUUCCGACUCAUUUGUCAAUCAAAGUUGACAAUACCUUCACCUGGUUCUGCAUGGCAGUUACAGAAUCAAGCACUUCAUUUUGCAGUCGACCAAAGUCUUCUUCUAUGGGCGCUACUGGAUAUUGUAGGUUGCUCUUAUUUUUUUCUCUUGAUGCCCAGUUGGUUAUGUUUUCCUUGUAGGACUUUAAUUAGUAUUCUAGAUGAUUAUUUUGUUGGCUACUAUUCAUAAGAGAUGUUAGAAUCUCAGGUAAUUGUUACACAUUGUCCUCUUCUUGCCAACUCUUUUCACUAGAUUUAUUUCAAAUAUGAGUUUCCUCUUGAACUAAAUAUCUUGCUAAAACUGUACAUCCAACUUUACCAGGUAAUGUGUCCAUAAAAGUGUUUUCUUCACCUAGUUUAUUAUCUGUUUGUGGUCAUGGAUUUUCUGCAGAAAGUAUACAAGAAUCAUUUUUUUUUUUUAACUAAACUCUUACUCCCAGGCGUUAUUGCUGUACCUUAACACGGGGUUAGCUCUGAGGUAAAAUAUUUUGAGAGUCAAUGGAAGUGAUAUACGUCCAUGGUAAUUGAGGUACCCUUUUGGCCCUUGUCAAUUACUUUUGAAGCGAUGUUCCUUUUAAUUUCCUUAAAAAUAGCUAAUUGCCAAGACAUAUUUCUAGCACAUACAUUCUUGUCCCCAUUGUUAGUUUACUCUGACUAGAGCUGUCUGCUGAAGUUGGUAGACAGGUAAAGUACUUGUUAAAAUAAAAAAAAUUUGUUGGUUUUUUUUUUUGUUGCUAAAAUUAUGUUUAUUUUCUUUGUUGUUAUAUAAUGAAAGUUGAUACUAAUGGGACAUCUUGUCAAGGCUAGAUAAGAACUUGUGGAUUGGAGGAUCAGAAUUUUCUUUGUUGUUAUAGUCUAUUAAUGCUUUUGUUUGUUCAUUACUUUUGUUUUCUACAAGUAUGCUGUAAAAACUGAAAGUCGCAUUUUGUUUCUCCAGGUAGAGAUGGAUUCGAGUGAAAAACACUGCCCGUGGGAUACAAAUUUCACAGGUGCAAGGUGCUUGGUAUGUCAGUGUACCUGCAAAUAUAGUUUGGUAUUUUUUUUUAACACUCAACUAAAUGAAAGUUCUUAAAUGAAACAAAUGCACUACUAAAAUGCAUACUUGAUAAAAUACUUUUAUAUAGUGCAUUUGAUACAAUGCUGCCCAAUCAAUGGAGAUCCGAAUUAUGACUUAGAAAUAGUGAAACCUCCCACUGCAAUCUCAAGUCUAUGCUAAUGGCUCUACCUGGAGACUCGUAUGCAUUACCAAGUGGGGAUAUUGCGGUGUUGAAGCCAAAUGAGUAAGUAGUUUCUAGCAAUUCAUAUUGACAUUUUUAUGUAGAACAUGCGAUGUUUUGAGCUAGAAACUAAAGAGGAGACAAUAUAGGCCUUUUAUGUUGAUUUUGUUAGAGAGAUUCUUAUUGUUGUUCUUUUCCUUUAUGCUGACGGGAGCAAGGCCCACUUCUGCUAAUUAUCGAUCCUGUAUGUACCAAAUUGAAUUGGGGUGUUACUUUUUUUUCCAUAACAAGUUUGCUAUUCACGGAUUAUUCAUAACAUUAUAGACAUGAAAGAAGUUACGUUUUGGAAAUUGGUGUUUAAGCAAUCAUUCGUAAAUAAGUGUCAUGUGACAAUAUUUGUUAGUUCUCAUACCGGUGAUAUGAUUUUGGUCUAUUGAAUUUCAGCAAAGAAGAAGGAAAAGAAGAGUGUGCACUUUUUAUUUUAAUCCUUAUUGUACUUGCACAAAUAUGUUAUGUUCUGCUUUGGCUGAUUAAUCUAUUCAUAUCUUCUGUAGGACAAAGAUCAGAAAGCAUGAGAUGAACAAAUAUAUGCAACAGAGGAUGAUUGUAUACUGAUGAAAUUUUUUUUUCUUUCCAAACUUAUCUGAAGUUAUCUUUGUUUUUUGUUUUAUUUUUUACAUGACCAGUUCGAAAGAUAAUUUCUCUAUGGAUCUUGUUGAAGUUUUCUUUAUUUCGUCACUCUUCAGAUGCUUCAUAAUUGUAUCUUAUGGGUGAAAUCAUGUGUGAAUUUUACUUUGUCAAAUUGAGUUUAUUUAGCUAACCUCAUUCAAUGCACAUCUCUCUCUUUAAUCCUACUAACAUUAUCUUAAAAAUAACAGAGUCUUUGCAUUGCACACGACAAAGAUAGUAUUUUAUAAAACUUUAUAUUUUGGUAAAUUGGAGAACAAAUAAGUUUGGUCCAUAAUUUAUUGAUAUUAUAGAUUUUUUAUUAAAGUUCAUUUAGUCCCUCUUUGACCCCAUUUUUUUUAAAAUCAUUUUUAAUUGUACGUUUUAUGAUAUUCAUAAUUUUUAUCAACUUUUUUUAGCUAUUUUUAUUAACUUUUAUCAAAAUCCAAAAAAAAAAAAAAAAAUUGAUUUUUUUCUAAACCAAACACGGACUAAAUGUCAUUAAUAGAUAGUAAUAUUGUUAAAUCAAUAAAUGUAAUUAAAAAUGACAUUAUCCAUUUACAAAACAAGCAUGUCAGUUUCUCGUGUCAAUAUAAAUUAGAACUUAUUAAAAGAACUUUCAAUUGGAUGAAUCAGUCAAUGAAGGAAAACGUACAUAGUUGGUUUGAGUCCCAUUUUUGGAAGAAUAUACUUUGUAAUAGUGAUUUUUCGGAGAAUGUAUGGUUAAAAAACAUGAAAAAAAUUUGAGUGUACGUAUAAAAUUAUUUUAUUAAAAGAAUGUGUGGAGUUUUGAGAAGAAUAAGUUUCUAAACAAUGGGAUUAAACAUCGGCUUAAAAAAUACGAACACUAGUUUUUCAAGUUACUCAUUUUUGGCGAAUUAUCAGAGAUCUCCCCUAUCGUUUGGGGUCACUGGGCAUUGUGGACCAAUCAUUUUUGGGCUCGGCAAUUUGGCUUCGCUUUUAUGGAAAAUACAAUUACUCCCCAUGCAACCUACUACCAUCACACCAACAAGCUUUCCCGCCGUCGGUUAUUACAUGUACGAGGAUGAUGUAGUUGCAGCCAUUGUUUGGAAGAUCAGACAAAUUUUUAAUCUCCUUUUCCUCUCUUCGUCAUGAAAUUGUAACCUGUAAGGGUGCUUUCACAUUUGCAAUUAUCAGAGCCCAAGAAUCAUAGGGUAUCAAAUAAGGAACAUGCUAAACAUAUAGUGGGGAAUGGCUCGAUAACAAUUUCUAACGAUGGUGUGAUUAUUGAGAUCAAAAUGGAAGCUAUGAAAGCAAAAGAAGAGGUGGGGCUAGUAAAGAAUGUGAAGGAAAAGCUGUGAAAGAAGGCGAAUGCUAAGUUGAAGGAGCAACUUGGGCCGGAGAAAAUUGCAAACACUUGUUAUUACCUUUUAAACUAUUAGCUUGCAGAAUCUCGUAAAGUCCUUGUUACAUGAGAAUAUCUUCAGUGUGACUUGCCAAAUAUUAAAAUAAUUCUUCCCUUCGAAAUGUUCCAACUGAAAUUUGAAACUUGUCAUUGUCUUCCUAGCAAUCCCAAAAUUUGAACAUUGAGCUCUGACGCCACUAUUGAAAUGAUGAUGAUGAUGAUGAUGAUUCCAUAGAACCAACGAAAAUACAAAACACUAAACGAAUUGGAAAGAAAAGUAAUAAUUAAAUGUGGUCCGACAAACCACAUACAACCACGGAAGAAUGCUAAAAAUAAAUUUUUUAGUGGAUUUUGAUAAAAGAAUGAUAAUAUGUUGGGUAAAAAAGAUGAUAAAAAUUGUAGAUUCCAUAAAAUAUGUGAUAAAAAAAUGAAUUUUAUAAAAUGAGAGCCAAACAUGUACUUAUCGCCUUAUCUUCAUCCUUAAUCUGACCAUCAACAAUAAGUAACUCAAUUACACAUUUUUUUAAAUUUAUAUAGAUGAUCCAUUACAUACGAAUCCUCAUCGGUCUUCAACUUAUAUAAUUACUUCUUCAAUUAUAGAGCCUGUUUGAGAGUGAUUUUGAAAAUUGAUUUUUUGACCGUUAGGGAAAAAGUGGGGUCCACAUGUAAAAGAAUUAAUCAAAUAUGACUGUUGAAAUAGUGAAAUAACGAUCAAAAAAAUCAUUUUUUUGAGAGAAAAAAUCACUCCCAAACAGGCUCAUAACCUAUAUUUGAGUAAUUUAGACAUACAAAUCUUCUGACUUUUUUCAUAACUUAGAAGGUGAUAUCACAUUUAGAAUACUAUACUUUACCACGCGAGCUAGAGACAAUCUAAUCGUAUUGAUUGCCAUUGCUUCUAACUCUUGCAGCUUUCAUCCUUUUUAGACUCUUACCUUUUAAAAUCUCAUAAAGUCCACGUCGUACAAGAAUAUUUUCAAUGUACUUGCCAAAUGCUAAAAUUAUUCUUCCCUUCAAAAUGCGCCAACUCAUAUUUGAAUCUUUUCAUCAUCGUCACGGCAAUCCCAAAUUUUGAACAUCGAGCUUUGAUACCACUGAUGGAAAAAAAUUAAUCCAAAAAGGUACGAAACACAAAAUGAAUAAAAAAGACACGAAAUAAUUAAAUGUUGUUCAACAAACCACGUACAACCAAGGAAGAAGAGACUUUGCUCCUGUUUGGUUUAGCUAAAAAUCAUAUUUUAUUAAAUUUUGAUAGAAGUAUGACAAAAUGUAUGACGGAAAAAAUGAAAAAAAUUAUGGAUCCUAUAAAAUAUGUAAUUGAAAAUGAAUUUUGAAAAAGAGCCAAACAUAAGCUUUAAUAAUUUUUUUAAAAAAAAAUACUCAAUAAAAGUUUUCAUUUACCUCACCACUUUUUCGCACACAAAAUUAGAAUAUUAAUCCAAAUCACACAUGUCCCGUUUUUCUAGUUCUCUCUUUCGCCUCUCUCUACCUCCUAUCUUCAAAAUCGGUCAAAUAAGCUUAAUAACAAAUUUUUAAGCAGACAGACACUUGCGAAUUCUCAUAAAAUGUUAAAAAAUAUACAAAACGUUGUCAAUUAGGGAUUGAAACUAGGAGCCUGUUCAUUUGGCUUGAUCUCACUAAAAUAUAUGGAAAACGUUUCUACCAAAAUCUUCCUUCUUUUGCUAUAUUGUCACGUGUCUCACUUUCUCGUGUGUGUAUAAUCAAAUUCUAAUCUUGGUUACUUAAUUGCACGAUAACCAACUCUUUUUCUUGAUUAGUCAAUAUUACUUCGUUAAACAACAAUUAUGAGGAGAAUUCUCGAGAGUGUUUUUGAGCCCAUUUUUUGUGAAAAUAAAUUUUAUAACAACGAUUUUUUAAAGAAUGUAUGUAAAAUAAUAAUAAUAAUAAUAAUAAUAAUAAUAAUAAUAAUAAUAAUAAUAAUAAUAAUAAUAAUAAUAAAUUUAUGUGUAAAAUUAUUUUAUCGGAAGAACGUGAUUAAAAUGAGUUUGGCGAAAAAUAAUUUUUUAGAGAAUGAGGACAAACAGGGCCAAAUUUGAUAUGAAGGAAAUUGCAAUUUUACUCCCCAACAAUUAGAACCGCCUUAAACUUCAACCUAGUAGUUUCAAUUUUCAAAUAUCAAUUUCAUUGCUCGCCUCCCGCCUUUUUCCCAACGGCUCAGUUCUCCGCUCCCCCUCUUAUAAAAGAAAGCCCUCGUCUCGAACACACAACAACUAAUUUCAAUUCCCGCCUUUGAACACAACGUCUCUUCAAUUCUCUCGGUUUCGGUUUCAAUUUUCUCCUCUUGAAAGAUUACAUGGCGGAUGCUGAUGUGUUGAAGGCCAAGAAAAAAGCAUUCCUGAGGAGAAAAGAAUGCAUAAAGAGGAAGACUAUGGAAUUGUCAACUUUAUGUGAUGUGAAAGCCUGCGCAGUGAUUUUAGGCCCCGAUGGACAGAUUGAUUCUUGGCCGGAGAAUCGUAGUGAAGUGCAGGAGGUGAUCAAUUUGUACCAAAACGGGUCUAGUAAUAAAAAGCGGAAGCAACAAUAUGAUGAUAGGGGUUGUAACAAGAAGCAGGUUCUGGGUGGUGAUGAAGGGGCUUUGAAUCCGGAAGAAUUUCUGAAAAAGAUUGAUGCCAAAUUGGGUGAAGUCAAGAACCGGAUUCAGUUUCUCAGGUCCAAAGAACAAGAAAUCGAACCAGGUAUUUUCACCAGCCCCUUUUUAGUUUUUAGUCAUGUUUCUCUGUUCUUUCUGGAAUUCAUAUACUUGUUCUAUAUUCAUUCAUGGAUAGAUGUUGCUUGUUGCUUGAAUUGUUUUCGCUUUAGAUGGUUCGUUGCCCAGAAUGUGACGUUCAGCACUAGUACUCUUAUAAGUAAAUAACCAAUCUUAAUUUCCCAGCAUAAACUUACAAUUUUUAGUAAUAUUGAUAUAAAACUAUUUUACAGAAAACACAAAGAAUCGGAGGUUUAAAUCUUAUGAGAUCAGUUUUAUGUAAUAAUUAUUAGACUUGAUCACUUCUCUUAUGUUGUCACAAAAUCUAGGCUUCUUCGAUCUGGUCUUCAUGCUGAAAUUGAUUUUGUGAAUCUUUUUUAGUAUUGUCAUCAUCUUUAAUUAACUUGGGAUAUUAACCCUUAACAGUUAUGUAUAUAUCCUGAUUGAAUCUUGUAAAUCAAGUGACUCAGGUUCCAGAAAAUUAACAAAUGACACACUUUAUAUAACAAAAAAAAUGCUUUAGCAACUAAAAUGUUAUUGUUUCUACAUUUUCUUCUCUUCGUUGAUUCACAACAGGGGAUUUACGGGGGAGACUGUGCAAAGGGAAGGGGGGGUGUAAAAAACGAAUUAAGUGUGGAAGUCCAAAAUCUUACAAAUGUUACCCUCUCAUGUGACUACUAUUUUUCGCCGUCAAAAUCUGGACACAAUCUGUGACCGAUUGCAGCAAUUUUAAGUGGUAUUACAGAAAAUUGUUUGAAACAUUAGCCGAGUGAAGUUAUGUCUGAAAGCAAGACCAUCCUGUCCUAUAUUGUCCAUGUAUAUUCCACUCUUAUGUCCAUCAAGAAAUAUCUUUACCGAGAGACUUAUAACUUCUAAUUUUCCAGGCUGGCCUCAAAAAGAUUCACAAAAUCUGGGCUCACAUUCUAAUGUUGGCAUGCUGGAGUUUGGAAAUCAAUUGCCAGUCGAUAUUGUGUCUUCUAUAGGUGGCUUUCCUAGCAAUCUCGAUGCUAUGGAUUUCGGACCAGAAACCAGCUUUCAGUCAUCACAGGCAGCCUUCCCUCAGCUUCAACAGCAGCUGCACAUGGAGCAGCCAUGGAACUGUAUGGAUUCUCCAUUCUGGUUUGAACCCGAAAGUGCACUCCUGACCGGAAGCGACCAAUUUCUACAAAGCUAUAUUGAUAACAAUGAUGAAUCUUCUUGGAUGCAGUCACCCCAAUUUCAAGAGAACACCUUUCUGCUGUGAAUUACAAGGUUGAACUGCUGCAUCGACCUCCGAGAUCGAAUCAAGCAAAAUUUUAAUCAGGAUUAGGACCUCUUUUCUUUUCCCUUUUGACUCAUGUAUGCAUACUUGUAACUCGUAAUAUAGAACA
rnacentral:lncRNA from 1 species